UCCCACUCCUAGAUUUGAUCCUUUUCCAAAUUAAGGACAUAUCAUUAGUUUUUCUUAAGUACUUAAGGAUGUUUUCACAACAAUCCAGGGCUCUCAGCCUGGAUACAACUAAUAUUUACUCGUGACAUUCACAGUAUUAACUAUAUCAGUUCAAGUAAAUUAUAUGACAUACAUCUAUGCCCAAGAAGAUAGCAGACCCCUCUUCGAGAUUUUUAUGCUGAACCCUUUUAGCAUCUACUCUCUGUACUUUAUCUGUGAAAAUAUAAGUAUUCAAUUGCAUAUAUCUUUAUAAAUCUUUAUAUUCUCAGAAUAUAGGAUGCUUGCUUUAUAUCUUUCAUGGAGAAUUCUAUAUUCCAUCAUAUUUUAACCGAUGUCAGUAUUGGAC
rnacentral:lncRNA from 1 species